UGAGGUGGUAGGUUUAUUGAUAAAUUUUAACAACUAGUUUGUUACUAAAUAAUUUGAGCUUAAGCAUUUUAGAUUAUAUGGGUAAACUCACUUUCUUUAGGUUACUUGAACCAGCUGAGUUUUGAAAAUCAAUGUAUACUCAAAACCUGUCUCCAAUUUGUUAGCAAUUAGCUUGUCCCAGAGCAUUCCCUCUCAGGUUUUGACUGUUUUGGUAUUUGUUGUGCAGUUAAGCAAAGAUUGUAUGCAAUGUUUUGGGAAGUCGUUGUAAAAAUUGGUAAGGAUUAGGUGAAUAUUGUUUUACAUUUAUGCUAGACUAGAAUUCAUUGUUACUGCAUAUCCUUAAAAAAUUAUUUUAAUUACAGUGCCUUAGGUGAAGCAUAUCAGAGAAAAGAAAUUGGUACACGAUCAAGCACUUGAGCUUGUCCAAUUCAUUUGCAUAUGGAAGUUGCAAAAUCAAAAUUUUCACAAGCUGCUCAGAUAUUUACACCAGCGUUACUCAAAGCAACAUCUGAUUCAUGAAAUUGUUGAAAAAAUUUUGAGUUAUGAGAUUUCAAAUUCUUUGAGUGUUCACACUGGUUUGUUAAUUGUCCAGAAAUUAAGAAGUUUGUUUGUUAUUUUAAACUUGAAUUUAUUGUGAUAAAGAAAGAUCUAUCUUGUGUGUGGGCAAUGUCCCUUGCUUUGUUCAGCAAUUUUUAAGGAUAAAUAAUCUUUAAUAUACUAUUGUUCUGCCUCACACUAUCCUUGUGAGAGGCUAAAAGACAAAAAAAAAAAAAAGGGAGUGUGAAUAUCAUUUUACUACACAAUAUGGAACUCUUGUUGUGAACUGAAUUGCCUAAAUCAUUUUUCUUGUCUUCUGCUUCUUUAUGCAAUUGACAUGAUAAGCUGAUGACAAAUCAAUUAUUGUACAAUCUGUAGCGUAAAUAAGGACCCAACAUUCGGAUUCUUCUGAUGUACAGUGAGGAGCUGUCACAUAUGCUUUAUGCUGCAGUAGACAUGGUAUUAGUUCCUUCCAUAUAUGAGCCAUGUGGACUUGCUCAAAUGAUUGGAAUGCGUUAUGGAGCGGUAUAUACUAUCUUGUAAUCUCACUCCUCUUCUCUUGUCUGGGUAAUGAGUGAUGACUAUUUGACUUCACUGCUCAGUUAUCACUGCAUUUUAUUUAUUUAUUUAUUUUUGUGUGUGUUUUUAUUCUUGUACAAUUUUGAAGAAAUGAUUUUGACCUUCAUGGUUCAAAAAGUCAUAGAAAAAGAAAAUUUGACAUUCUGGAGCUGCAAGUAUAUGAUUGGUUUAUCCUACCAAGUAAUAUCAUAAGUUUCCAGUUAUGCAUCCAUGUAAUACCUAUUUGUCUACUUUUUGCCAAAGCCAUUAUAGGUGCAGUGUUAAUACUCCUGACAUGGCAUCUAAAAGGAAGGUUGGAUUAAAGGAUUCAAUUUUCAUCAUAUGGCCACUCAUCAAAAAUAAAAAUCACAUGGCAAAAGAAUUGUUCAUCUGUAACAAUCAAAAAGACUAGCUGCAUCAUUUGUUUAUUUAUUUUUUUGUUUAGAGAAUAUUCAUAUGUCCAACAGACUGAAGACCAUUGAUUAACAGAAACACACUGAGACAAGGCAUACUUCUGAAUUCUGAUUAUUUCAGGUCCCAAUAGUUAGGAAGACUGGUGGUCUUGCUGAUACAGUGUUUGAUAUGGAUGAUGAGUUACAUGCUGAGAUGGCUGAUGGGCAACUUGUUUUUCUUGUUCUGAAAUUUUUAGUUACUACUGAAACUAAACAAAACUAAUCCACGCUACUUAUGUUGGCUGCAACCAUUUUAUUUUGUCACACCUAGAACUUAGUAACAAAUAAAUCAUAUUUGACCAUGUUGUUUCUCAUAGUUACAGUUCAUUUUUCUUUUACGCCUUUCCCAUGGCAACUUAUUAUGUGUGUAUUAAAUAUUAUUAUAUUAUGUACUCCGAAAAAAAGUGUAGUUUGUGGAGUGGGCUUUGAAGAUGAUCAAUCUGAGGAUUUUGCUAAGAUUUUUAAUUGCUUGACUAAGGAAUUGCCAUUUUCAUUCUUAGGUCUUCCUUUAGGGGCCAAUCCGAGAAGGUAGAGCACAUGGAACCCAGUAGUAGAGAAGGUGAAGAAAAAACUGUCUUCUUGGAAGAGGAAAUUACUUUCUUAUGCUGGGAGGUUGACUUUGAUCAAAUCAGUUCUCGCUAACUUGCCAACCUAUUUUCUCUCUCUUUUUAGAAUGCCUAAGCGUGUUGCUAAAUCCUUAGUCAAAUUGCAGUCAUCUUUUCUAUGGGGAGGGAAUGUUAAUAAAAGGAAAGUGCACUUGGUCAAAUGGAAGGAGGUAACCAGAAGCAAAAGUCAAGGAGGUUUGGGUGUGAGAGAUUUAGGUGAGGUGAAUGAAUGCUUGUUAUUAAACUGGUGAUGGAGGUAUGGCAAUGAAGAUACAUCUCUGUGGAAAGCUGUGGUCUGCUCAAGGUAUGGUAGGACUGGUGGAGGUUGGGCUCCAGCUAUGAGUCUUUCAGGUGGGGUAUCCACAGUACGGAUGGAUAUUGUGCAGCUCCUUUCAGUUAACCAACACUUGGGUGAGUUCUAUGGUGACCAUUUUAGAAUUAAAGUUGGAAGUGGGGGGAGAAUCAUGUUCUGGCAUGAUGCAUGGCUUAACAACAGAGGCUUGCAGGUUCAAUUCCCCAGACUAUACAUUUUAUCCACUGAGAAAGAUGAGACCUUACAACAACUCAGUCCCAAGAGAAGUAAUUCAGGGGUGUGGCAGCUUAGCUUUAGAAGACAAUUAUUAGUUUGGGAAGCGGAGGAGCUGCAGAGACUGAUGGGUUUGCUGGUAACAUCUCCAAUGGUUAGUUUUGAUUUUGUUGAUUCUUGUUCUUGGCUAGCUAACAGUUCAGGGCAGUUUUCAGUCUCUUUUGUGAGAAGAUGGUGGGAUGCAGCAAAAGGACCUGGCCAGGUUGUACCUAAAGGGGUAUGGGUUUGUUUAGCUCCGCCAAAAGUGCAGUUUUUUUGCUGGUUGCCUUGGAGAGGCAAAGUCAAGUCUUCAACCUUCUUUCAAAGGAUUGGGGUGUUAUAUGCAUCAGCAAAUAUCUUGUGUCUUUUGCCAAGCUGAGGUGUAAUCCUUGGAUCAUGUGCUCUUAUUUUGCCCACUGGUUUGGUAGCGUUGGUCUCAAAUGGUAAGGUGGAGGGAUCAGGUUUGGGCAAUCCUUGGAUCAGUCGAGGGCCUUCUGCAUUGGUGGUCUGCUGGUAAGAGUAAGCACUGGGUUUCCAGAUUAUGGGAGAUAGUUCCCUCAGUUGUGUUAUGGUCUGUUUGGAGAUUGCGAAAUGAAUGCCUUUUCAAAGGGGCACAACCUAAUUGUGAUGACUUUUGUGAAAAAAUGAAGGUGCAGAUUGCCUUGUGGGUAAAAUGGAGCUUGGAGGUUGAUUAUACAGUUAAUGAUAUUGUCUUUAAUCUCAAUCAGAUUAGGAUGUUUGCUACAGGCUCCCUGUGAUUCUGGUUUCUCUACUACUGAUCUGUUUCACUGCUACUCCUCUGCAACUCCUUUGUUUCUCUUUUGGUGUUGUUACUGAUCUAGCUCUGGUUUCUCUGCUACUGAUCUAUCUCUGCUAAUGUGUUGCUUCUGGUUUUUUGAGUUAAUAGCUGAGGUUUAUUUGUUGUUUCAA